AGUUCUCUUCCCGUAAUUAUUUAAUGGUCCAGCUGACUACACGUACAAAUAUGCUAUAUCAUGAUGGAAACAUAUGGAAAUGAAAGCAAGUUACUCUCGUGGUGUUUUCUUUCAAAACACAGACAUGAUUAGUGGUCUGGAGAUGAAUUACGAUGUUACAUCGAGUCCUCGGCUGGUUUUACUUUGUAUCAUUGCUGUCUUGAAAUGAGAAGUUGAAAAAAAUGAUUUCAUCAUUAACACACCGCGCUUUCUAUAUCCAGAAUGCCUUCCACCCUUUAUAAUACCCAGGGCAAAUCGCACUAAACGGUACAAGUGGGCACAUAUUUAGUGGAAAAUAAGAGUGGGUGCAAGUGGCAUCAGGGAGGCAAUCAACAAGUGGCAUUAGCAGACAGAACAUAGCAAAUGUGGAGGGAAUGUGGCAUGAAAGACACAGGGAAAAUGGUAAUGGCCAAAUGUGACGUGGCCUAAGAGGGAGUGGGCAAGUGGCAGGGCCCCAGCAAUAAUACUCCCAGUAAUGUGUCUGAGUAUAUAACAGAGCUCCACAGCAAUAAUACUCCCAGUAAUGUGUCUGAGUGUAUAACAGAGCUCCACAGCAAUAAUACUCCC